rnacentral:rRNA from 1 species
AGGACGAACGCUGGCGGCGUGCUUAACACAUGCAAGUCGAGCGAGGCCCCACCUUCGGGUGGGUGUCCUAGCGGCGAACGGGUGAGUAACACGUGGGCAACCUGCCCCUAGCACUGGGAUAACUCCGGGAAACCGGGGCUAAUACCGGAUACGACUUCGGAAGGCAUCUUCUGAAGUGGAAAGGGUUACUGGCUAGGGAUGGGCCCGCGGCCUAUCAGCUUGUUGGUGGGGUAACGCCUACCAAGGCUCCGACGGGUAGCCGGCCUGAGAGGGCGACCGGCCACGACGUGGGACUGAGACACGGCCCAGACUCCUACGGGAGGCAGCAGUGGGGAAUAUGCACAAUGGGCGAAAGCCUGAUGCAGCGACGCCGCGUGAGGGAUGACGGCCUUCGGUUGUAACCUCUUCGGCAGGGACGAAGCGAAAGUGACGGUCUGCAGAAGAAGCGACCGGCAACGUACGUGCCAGCAGCCGC